rnacentral:rRNA from 1 species
GACGAACGCUGGCGGCGUGCUUAACACAUGCAAGUCGAACGGAAAGGCCCUGCUUUUGUGGGGUGCUCGAGUGGCGAACGGGUGAGUAACACGUGAGUAACCUGCCCUUGACUUUGGGAUAACUUCAGGAAACUGGGGCUAAUACCGGAUAGGAGCUCCUGCUACAUGGUGGGGGUUGGAAAGUUUCGGCGGUUGGGGAUGGACUCGCGGCUUAUCAGCUUGUUGGUGGGGUAGUGGCUUACCAAGGCUUUGACGGGUAGCCGGCCUGAGAGGGUGACCGGCCACAUUGGGACUGAGAUACGGCCCAGACUCCUACGGGAGGCAGCAGUGGGGAAUAUUGCACAAUGGGCGGAAGCCUGAUGCAGCAACGCCGCGUGCGGGAUGACGGCCUUCGGGUUGUAAACCGCUUACGCCUGUGACGAAGCGUGAGUGACGGUAAUGGGUAAAGAAGCACCGGCUAACUACGUG